AACAAUCUCCUUUCCCUUCCUCCCCCACAACAAACACUCUGUGAGGUAACAGAAGCAUAUUUUAAACUGCCUAGGACCAGGGCCAUUGUAUGCGCCAGAUAGUCAAUUAUCCUGUUUUGCUCCAGGAGAACAAAGCAUCUACAAAACUUCCCUAAGAAGAACAAAGGCACCAUCCUUGGGUUGCAUUUUGAUGGAAUAUUUCUAUUGUCUAUUGUUUAUAGUGUCAUAUUUGAAACCAAUUCAGGGUUUUAAUCAGCAGGUUGAUCUUCCAGUCCACGCCAGGAGACUUCUGACUGUUAUGUAGGGAUAAAUAACACCACCUUUCAGCACAAGACUCCCAGGAAGAUGUAAACAGUAAUUUAAAAUAGCAGAACAACUACAGUGGUACCUUGGUACUCAAAUGGCUUGGCUCCCGAACAAAUCAGCUCCCGA